AUAUAUACUUUGUGGGGUCUGCCACGUCUCCUUCUGCCUGUUACAUACAUUUCAACAAAACCAUUAUACCCUGAUGAUUUGAACGAAGCAUUGGAAGAUCUAUCGUGAACAAUGGAGCAGUGAGAAUAAAUCUGAAUAUAAAGAAAUGUUUCGAAUAUCUUUUGAUUAUUGAAUAUAUAGAUUUGUAUAUAUAUACCAAUGGAUUUUUUGCAGUACUAUCUGUCGUGACAACCAAGGGCCGCAUCCAUGGCUCGACACCUUUUAUAAAAAUCUCCUGGGUUUGACUGGGAUCUAUUGCGGCUCCUGUACCUAUUAAGGGUUUCAAAUCCACGUUGACCCAUUGACCCAAUCCAGUUGGAAUUUUAUGUCGGAACUCGAAGAUUUUUGCCUUAUGCG